rnacentral:rRNA from 1 species
CCGGGAUGACUGAGUGGCGGACGGGUGAGUAACGCGUGGGUAACCUGCCCUGUACAGGGGGACAACAGUUAGAAAUGACUGCUAAUACCGCAUAAGCGCACAGGACCGCAUGGUCCGGUGUGAAAAACUCCGGUGGUACAGGAUGGACCCGCGUCUGAUUAGGUAGUUGGCGGGGUAACGGCCCACCAAGCCGACGAUCAGUAGCCGACCUGAGAGGGUGACCGGCCACAUUGGGACUGAGACACGGCCCAAACUCCUACGGGAGGCAGCAG